GCGGUCGUAGCUCAGUGGAUAGAGCACGGGUCUUCGGAACCUGUGGUCGGGGGUUCGAAUCCUCCCGACCGCGCCA
rnacentral:tRNA from 1 species